GCUGAAUGUGGGGAUAAUUUAUCUCUGUGUUGUAGCUAACGCGUUAAGCACUCCGCCUGGGGACUACGGUCGCAAGACUAAAACUCAAAGGAAUUGACGGGGACCCGCACAAGCGGUGGAGCAUGUGGUUUAAUUCGAUGCAACGCGAAAAACCUUACCACUCCUUGACAUGGAGAUUAGAUCCUUCUUAACGGAAGGGCGCAGUUCGGCUGGAUCUCGCACAGGUGCUGCAUGGCUGUCGUCAGCUCGUGUCGUGAGAUGUUGGGUUAAGUCCCGCAACGAGCGUAACCCUCAUCCUUAGUUGCCAGCGGGUUAAGCCGGGCACUUUAAGGAAACUGCCAGUGGUAAACUGGAGGAAGGUGGGGAUGAUGUCAAGUCAGCACGGCCCUUAUGGGGUGGGCUACACACGUGCUACAAUGGUGACUACAAUAGGUUGCAAUGUCGCAAGGCUGAGCUAAUCCGUAAAAGUCAUCUCAGUUCGGAUUGUCCUCUGCAACUCGAGGGCAUGAAGUCGGAAUCGCUAGUAAUCGUGGAUCAGCAUGCCACGGUGAAUACGUUCUCGGGUCUUGUACACACUGCCCGUCACGCCAUGGGAAUUGGCUUAACUCGAAGCUGGUGCGCUAACCGAAAGGAAGCAGCCAA
rnacentral:rRNA from 1 species